rnacentral:rRNA from 1 species
CAGCAGCCGCGGUAAUACAGAGGUCCCAAGCGUUGUUCGGAUUCACUGGGCGUAAAGGGUGCGUAGGUGGUCGGGUAAGUCUGUUGUGAAAUCUCCGAGCUUAACUCGGAAAUGGCAGUGGAUACUAUCCGGCUAGAGGAAUGGAGGGGAGACUGGAAUACUUGGUGUAGCAGUGAAAUGCGUAGAUAUCAAGUGGAACACCAGUGGCGAAGGCGAGUCUCUGGACAUUUCCUGACGCUGAGGCACGAAAGCCAGGGGAGCAAACGGGAUUAGAUACCCCGGUAGUCCUGGCCCUAAACGGUGCGCAUUUGCUGUGAGUGGAAUCGACCCCGCUCGUGGCGAAGCUAACGCGUUAAAUGCGCCGCCUGGGAAGUACGGCCGCAAGGUUAAAACUCAAAGGAAUUGACGG